GAGCUUUCUUCUCUCUACCCUUACGUUCUGCAGCUGGUAUUAUCUGCGCAGCUCCAGGCCUGGAUGGGGCAUGGCUACGGGCUCAAGUUAUCAGCUACUUUGCAGAGACCAGUGAAGUGGAACUCAGAUAUGUGGACUAUGGAGGAUAUGACAAAGUGAAGGUCGACACACUCAGACAAAUCAGGUCUGACUUUUUAUCGCUGCCUUUCCAAGCAGCAGAAGUUUUACUGGAUGAUGUGGUGCCUCUUCCAGACGAGGAUCGCUUCUCCCCUGAAGCUGACGCGGCUGUUGGCGAGAUGACCAGAGGCGCGGUCCUUGUGGCGCAGGUACCAAAUUAUGACAGUGCAACAGGACUGCCACUGAUACAGCUGUGGAACUUGAGGGGA